rnacentral:ncRNA from 1 species
UUCUUCGGGGUCGGGUGCAAUUCCCAACCGGCGGUAUAGUCCGCGACCCACUGCCAUAUUGACAGCGGUUGAACUGGUGUAAUUCCAGUACCGACAGUAAAGUCUGGAUGAGAGAAGAA